CACAUACUCCCUCCGUUCGGAAUUACUUAUCGCGGAAAUAGAUGUAUCUAGACGUAUUUUAGUUCUAGAUACAUCCAUUUCCGAGACAAGUAAUUCCGAACGGAGGGAGUACAAG
rfam:Triticum aestivum genome assembly, contig: Triticum_aestivum_CS42_TGACv1_scaffold_603264_7DL